AGACAGCAAGGACGAGAAAGAAAGCAAGCUUCGUUUCAGGUUCAGAGAGAAAGACCCUGCGAAAUCUUAUCAAUUACGUAAAUAUUACCGUUAAUUGGACCACUCCUCGGUUAAAGGGCCAGAGAUGUGGUAUGAAAAAGAUUUCAAUAUUCACUUGGCAAAGUCAUCGGAAAAUUUUUAAAAUUUUUAGAUUCUCCUGAUGGCUGGAAAGGGUGUAUUAUAGUUACUUAUCACAAUCUUUAGAAGUCCCUUUGUUCUAUACAGUUAAUAAAUUUUGUAUAGAAGCUUAAUACCUACAUGAAUAUUCACAAGGUUAAAUAGUUGGAAUGUUAUCAUUCUUUAUGUUUACAUGAAUGUUAUCAUCUUUUCCUUCGCCCAUUUUUUAUCUUUAUAAUCCCUGUUUGACCACGGCGUCGAACAAACGUUAAUCGAAGGAAAAAUUAUUCAUAUAUUACGCUCUUCCAGGCUGAUUUCUUUUGAAAGAGACUGAGGAAGAUAUUUUGUCUAAAGAAAUCAGCGAAGCAUAGCUGAUACCAAUCAUCGUUGAUCAAAAUUGCAUUUUAAGACAUUAAAACUCUAGCUUCAAAAAAUUGACGACAACCUACAUUAACUUAAACGAUUAUUGAAUCGUUUUAGAAGAAAUCGUAUAAAAAUAGAGAAA